CCAAGGAGUCUAACAUGUGCGCGAGUCUUCGGGUCGUCCGAAAACUCGACGAAACCUGAAAGGCGCAAUGAAAGUGAAGGUCGACCGUCGGCCCUCCCCGGCGCGUUCGCGCGCGCAGGGAUCGGGGCCGCGGUGCAGGCCGAGGCGGGAUCCGAAGAGAUUACCGUAAAUGACAAAAAUGCUUUAAAAGCCGGGUCGGGGAACCGCCGAUCCUUCUUUUUCUUCCCUUUGGUUCCUUUCGGGGUUCCGAAUGCUGGAGGAGAGACGAGGGAGAGGCUAUACCUCCAACCGAGGAAAAAAGGGCCGGCGGGUCAAACCGUCCGUGCUCUUUCUCCGAGGCGAGGCGAAACCUGAAAAAGAACCCCGUCACCCCGGUCGGCGCACCGCCGGCCCGUCUCUACCGCACCGUCGGUGAGGCGGAGCCAGAGCGUACACGUUGGGACCCGAAAGAUGGUGAACUAUGCUCGGGCAGGACGAAGCCAGAGGAAACUCUGGUGGAGGUCCGUAGCGAUUCUGACGUGCAAAUCGAUCGUCGGACCUGAGUAUAGGGGCGAAAGACUAAUCGAACCGUCUA
rnacentral:rRNA from 1 species